AGAAAUCGUUAAGGGCGUAUGGCGGAUGCCUAGGCUCACAGAGGCGAAGAAGGACGUGAUAAGCUGCGAAAAGCUGCGGGGAUUUGCACAUAAGAAUAGAUCCGCAGAUAUCCGAAUGGGGCAACCCACUAUGUUGAAGGCAUAGUACCAGAGAUGGGGCGAACCCGGGGAACUGAAACAUCUAAGUACCCGGAGGAAAAGAAAUCAAAUGAGAUUCCCAGAGUAGUGGCGAGCGAAAUGGGAUUAGCCGAGAAUUUACAAAUAUUAGAAAUACUUGGAAAAGUAUACCGAAGAAGGUGAGAGUCCUGUAUAAGAAAUGAGUAGAUUACGUAUUAAGUAGGGCGGGACACGAGAAAUCCUGUUUGAAGAAGGGGGGACCAUCCUCCAAGGCUAAAUACUCCUGUGAGACCGAUAGUGAACAAGUACUGUGAAGGAAAGGUGAAAAGCACUUUGAAUAAAAGGGUGAAAGAGAACCUGAAACCGUACGCCUACAAGCGGUCGGAGCAUCGUAAGAUGUGACGGCGUGCCUUUUGCAUAAUGAGCCUACGAGUUACUGUUACUGGCGAGGAUAAGGUGUUCAGCACUGUAUUCGAAGCGAGAGCGAGUCUGAAAAAGGCGGUAUAGUCAGUAGGAGUAGACGCGAAACCUUGUGAUCUACCCAUGGGCAGGUUGAAGCUGUGGUAACACACAGUGGAGGACCGAACCGGUUGACGUUGAAAAGUCUUCGGAUGACCUGUGGGUAGGGGUGAAAGGCCAAUCAAACUGGGAAAUAGCUCGUACUCCCCGAAAUGCAUUUAGGUGCAGCGUUUAAAUAAGUUUAUUAGAGGUAGAGCUACUGAUAGGAUGCGGGGGAUUCACCUCCUACCAAUUCCUGACAAACUCCGAAUGCUAGUAAAUGAUAUUAAGCAGUGAGGGCAUGGGUGCUAAGGUCCAUGUCCGAGAGGGAAAGAACCCGGACUAACAGCUAAGGUCCCUAAAUGUAUGUUAAGUUGAUAAAACGCGGUUGGAUUGCACAGACAGCUAGGAUGUUGGCUUGGAAGCAGCCAUUCAUUUAAAGAGUGCGUAACAGCUCACUAGUCGAGCGAUCUGGCAUGGAUAAUGAUCGGGCAUAAACAUACUACCGAAGCUAUAGACUGUAGAUACAGUGGUAGGGGAGCAUUCUAUACGAGUAGAAGUUGAGCUGUAAGGCUUGGUGGAUUGUAUAGAAAAGAAAAUGUAGGCAUAAGUAACGAUAAUGCGGAUGAGAAAUCCGCACGCCGCAAGACUAAGGAUUCCUCAGCUAUGCUAAUCAGCUGAGGGUUAGUCGGGACCUAACAUGAACCCGAAAGGGGUAGUGGAUGGCAAACAGGUUAAUAUUCCUGUACCUGCUCACAGAGGAAGUGACGGGGUUAAGUAAUAAGUGCGUACUGACGGAAUAGUACGUUGAACCCAUUUAACGUGGGGAUAGUACACAAAGGCUACGGCUGGCGUGAUAAUCUUAUGAAGUGACCUCCAAGAAAUAGCGAGUGAAGCAGCCCGUACCGUAAACCGACACAGGUAGUCGAGGAGAGUAUCCUAAGGCGCUCGAGUGAAUCAUGGCUAAGGAACUAGGCAAAAUAGACCUGUAACUUCGGGAGAAAGGUCGCCCCAAGCGAUUGGGGCCGCAGCGAAGAGGUCCAGGCGACUGUUUAUCAAAAACACAGGACUCUGCUAAAUCGAAAGAUGAUGUAUAGGGUCUGACACCUGCCCGGUGCUGGAAGGUUAAGGGAGGAGGUUAGCGUAAGCGAAGCUUUUGACUGAAGCCCCAGUAAACGGCGGCCGUAACUAUAACGGUCCUAAGGUAGCGAAAUUCCUUGUCGGGUAAGUUCCGACCUGCACGAAUGGCAUAAUGAUGGCCACGCUGUCUCCAGCAGAGACUCAGUGAAAUCGAAAUCGCAGUGAAGAUGCUGUGUACCCGCGGCUAGACGGAAAGACCCCGUGAACCUUUACUACAGCUUUACAUUGAACUUUGACCUGACUUGUGCAGGAUAGGUGGGAGGCUAUGAAGCAGAUACGCCAGUAUUUGUGGAGUCAACCUUGAAAUACCACCCUGGUCAUGUUGGGGUUCUAACUUAGAUAUUCACAAUAUCGAGGACAAUGUAUGGUGGGUAGUUUGACUGGGGCGGUCUCCUCCUAAAGAGUAACGGAGGAGUACGAAGGUGCGCUCAGAACGGUCGGAAAUCGUUCAAAGAGUAUAAAGGCAAAAGCGCGCUUAACUGCGAGACCCACAAGUCGAGCAGGUACGAAAGUAGGUCUUAGUGAUCCGGUGGUUCCGUAUGGAAGGGCCAUCGCUCAACGGAUAAAAGGUACUCUGGGGAUAACAGGCUGAUACCGCCCAAGAGUUCAUAUCGACGGCGGUGUUUGGCACCUCGAUGUCGGCUCAUCUCAUCCUGGGGCUGAAGCAGGUCCCAAGGGUAUGGCUGUUCGCCAUUUAAAGAGGUACGCGAGCUGGGUUUAGAACGUCGUGAGACAGUUCGGUCCCUAUCUACCGUGGGCGUUGGAAAUUUGAGAGGAUCUGCUCCUAGUACGAGAGGACCAGAGUGGACGAACCUCUGGUGUUCCGGUUGUUUCGCCAGAAGCAUUGCCGGGUAGCUACGUUCGGAUGAGAUAACCGCUGAAAGCAUCUAAGCGGGAAGCCCACCUCAAGAUAAGAUUUCCCUAAAGAGCCGUUGUAGACUACGACGUUGAUAGGUUGGGUGUGGAA
rnacentral:rRNA from 1 species